UACGUAGGGUGCGAGCGUUAAUCGGAAUUACUGGGCGUAAAGCGUGCGCAGGCGGUUUUGUAAGCCAGAUGUGAAAUCCCCGGGCUUAACCUGGGAAUGGCAUUUGGGACUGCAAGGCCUGAGUGUGGCAGAGGAGACUGGAAUUCCUGGUGUAGCAGUGAAAUGCGUAGAUAUCAGGAGGAACACCGAUGGCGAAGGCAGGUCUCUGGGCUGACACUGACGCUCAUGCACGAAAGCGUGGGGAGCAAACAGG
rnacentral:rRNA from 1 species